UUCACAGGUGUGUGUGUCAGUCGUUGUGUAUAGCCCUCAUGUUAGCAUUGUCUCUGGUCUAGGUUUGUUACCUGUAACCUCUGUUGGUGGUGUGUGUUUUGCAGGUUGCCCUGGCUUCUGUCUUGUCCGUCCCCCUGCUGCUGUUGAACUUGUGACCUCAUUUCCAUGGAGACAUGUCAAGACAAAGAUGGAGGGCAGCAGAGAGAGUUGGACGUCAGGCUGGAAACCUGUGUGGUCUUCAGAAAUGUGUAGCCUAGUCCAACACACACAUUCAUUCCUGGCCCAAAAACCCAGCUCUGAUUCGCAAGGAGGAUUCAUCUGCUUUGGAAAACCAGCAGUGCCGUAUGCAGCCACCGCCGUUGAAGGAGAGCGGAAUCCCUGGAUAACAAAUUCCUUUUCAGUAAUGUAAAAUGGGAAAGCUGUCUAGAUGUGGGGAGGAAAAUCGAGGAGGAGGAGGUUCAUAACUCACAUAUAUAUUUUGAAAAGUCGUGUCUAGUUUAUAAAGGUGUGUAUAUUUAAGCUUUUCAAGAUGAGUAAUGGUAGCGUAGGUCAUGGUGCAUGCAGGAUUGGACACCUCUCAAAUAAAACAAAAACAAACA